rnacentral:lncRNA from 1 species
CUCCAUUGUUCACAUCCUGGUCCUGGGCAAUGGAGCGGUCACAUAUUGUCUGCAGCCAAAAUGGCAACCUAUUCUCCCUAUGGACCCUGGACAACAGUAGUGCACUAUAUAGUGAAUAGGGCGCCAUUUCAGAUGAAUCCAUUGUUAAAGAACGACUGCCCCAAAAAAACAAAUAAUCUCUUUGAAAACAGCCUAUGUGGCUUCGAUAUGAGUCAGAAACAUUUAUUCUUAAUAGGAUCAUUUUGUUCAUAACGUCAGUCUCGUCUUAAACGGAGUUUGGAACUGAGUGCGUCACAACGAGUAAAUUAAGGUUAGGUCUGGAUAACAAUUAUGUCUACAAUUCAUGCCCCCUUUUGUCAAGCUCCACGUGCAAAUCGCCCCUCCACCCACUUUGCUUCUCUUUAUUGAAUGGGGCUCCAUUGUUUUAUCGCGUUCAAAGGAUCAGACCGUUUGAGACUGAAAAGGCCUAUACAGAUUGACAAUGCCUCUGGCUCCGGUUCAACAAUGCAUGCUUCCAGUAAGAUGAACAGCCAGCUAUGGUUUGCAUGUCCUGCUGAAGGACCCUACCAUGCGGAAUAGGUGGUUGGAGUUGGUUCCCAAUGGUGAUUUGGCUUGGAAACAUAAUACUGAUCCCCGGUCGUGAACGGAUGCCGGGACCUACCAGAAGGAACAAAGACAGAUGUGCCUGUAUGGAGCCAGCACCAGGGAGACUUGCAAGAUGAUGUGGUGGAUUCCAGACUGGCAGACAGGCUUGAUGCUGAUGACUCUGAAUUGAGAGAGACCUUGCACUUAGCAAUACAAUUAUAUAAGACACAUCGAUUACUUGUUAUGGUCUUUUAUUAUUAUUGAAUCGGGGGGGAACUGUGGAACACAUCAUCCACAAUAUUAUGUGAAGGAUGACUUAUUCCAAAUGGAACUAUUGCACAUGAAAGUUAUCAAAACACUUUGUUU